GGAACAGAGUGAACAGUGGGAAGCGGUGUAUGAUUUUUCUGUGGAAACAGACAUUGCCCUGAGUCCUCUCUGGCCCCCUUGUCUUAAGGAGCCUGAGAAGGUUCUGGGAGUAACCAGAGGGCUUUAGUCCCCUGCACUGUCAGUUUGGUCCACUCCACAAAUAGUUUACUUUCAAACCUACUCAGCUCUGACAUUGAAUACCAUGCAGCAAGACAGAUUGGUGAGGAUCUGGCCCUGAAUUUGCUAAGUCUAUGGAAAGACUUCCAGUGAUUUCAGCAGGAGUUGGAUGGAGCUGAUAGUGCCUCAGAUUCCACAGAGUGCCAUCAUGGUUACAGGACCCCCGUCAACAUUGUGCAAAUGAAAGAAGCAGAAAACAUUUUUUUAUUACUUCUGGGUACUAAAGAAAUUUGAAAGAAGGAAACAACAAAGUGACAAAGAUGAUGACAAAGAAAAGGAAAACAAAAUGGAAACCAGAGCUAUGCCUGUUAUACAGCAAAAAGGAGAUUGUAUUUGCUUCCUUCACCUACAAUAAAACCUGCUCUCCACAGCUUGAGAGUAGUUACUGAGCUUGAGUGCAAGCCUUGGUGUCUUUUUGUGGUCUAUUUUGGUGAUUUUGACUAAACUCACCCUGGAACCAGGUUAAUCUUGGUCUCUUUUGCAAGGUACAUCUUUUAAUAUAGCCAAGUCAGUAGCUUUGAGCUUUGCCUGGUCACACUAUGUAUGUAUCCAAUGGACUCUGUAAUUUUGAUAAUCAUAGCCAUCAUUAGUGUUUUUAAUAUUUACAUAUUACGAUGAGACCAGGGAUCGCAUGUGUUUGCUUGCUUGCUUGACAUGUUCAAAGAUUUAACAGGAGUUCCUAUAGUAGACAUGUAAAGGAAGUGCAAUGAAUAAUAUGCCCUGUAUAUGCAUGUGUAUACACCCAUUUCUUUUAUACGCUAAAGUAUCAUUCUGUCUGUUCUGUAUAUGUUCUUAUACUGCCGCAUCAGUGUAGUGUCUGAGCUUCCAAUCAUGAAUUAAGUAAUGUGACUAACACCUGCUGCAUGUGGCUCAUUAUUUCUCUCACACUACUACUCUUGAGGAGAGGAUAUGUGCAGUGUAGUGUUUUGUGUUUUUAUGUACAAACUGCUGUAUGUUUGUUAGAGAAGGCAAGGUCAAGGAAUUGCAUCUUGCACUUGGAGCAGAAGGAGGUGAGGUUUGUGAUAGUCCUUAGCUCCUGUGGGAGUCAGUUACAUAGUCUUAGAUUAGCUCCUCACAAAAGCUCUGUCUCCUGUGAAGAUGAGCUAUAUGCUAGAAAGUAUCUGAGGGGUAUCUGUUACAGCUGC